ensembl:lncRNA
ACAUUAUGUUGCAGUGACUGCAAAUAGAAGACUGAAUGGUCCUCUCUACAACAUGAGUCAUUCCUAUGAAGCUAUUUGUAAUCACAUAGAAGCCCUUAGUGUUUCCGGAACAUUUGAGACUUUAAAGCCUAUUAUACCACGGCUUGGUUGAAUUUCCUAUUGUGACGUGUUCUUUAGAAAGUCAAUCCAAUUUUGAUAUUUGCACAUUUAUGAAGUAGUUCCAGUUUUUUGACUGCAUAGUACUCACAUAUCAAUUCAGCAAGUUUUUUGUGAAGUUUAAAUGAACUGCCGCGUUGUGAUAGAGUUAUAAAUUAGUGGACCGACGGAAGAACAGAGAGUGGCAACAUAUUCCAUAUGUCCAAACCGUGGUAUAAGCAGGAUAAUGGACUUAACUGCGUUCGGGUAGCAGAAAUGAAUGUACUCUGAGGUGUAACAGCUACGAGCUUCGAACAACAGAAGGACUAAUGCGGCCAUUAUCUGACUGCCAUCUGGCAAGCCUGUUUAUUAACACUUGAACCUAACUUCAUAAGAUUGACAUAACCAUGAUGGUUAAAGCUGAUGCCAUAUUCUGGGGAUGCCAUGUCACGACAGUCAGUAUGACAGCAUAAUGUUACCACUGUCAGAAAUGGUCAUGACAAAUAUUUGGUACUAUAACAGCUUAUUGGUGCAUAACCUAUAACAGCUUAUUGGUGCAAGAUACUGUUGGCAUGAUGCCGUCAUAUGAUUGGACAUCAGUUGCUAUUGUGCCUAAUGUCAAGGUAUGGUUUCAGUCAUAACACAGUUACAACAUGGUUAUGUCUGUCUAAUGACAGAGAGUUCAAGUAAAGUGUCACCAGUCAUACAUCAUUCAUAAUCUUGCAUGUCCCCAUUAAAUAAUGUAAAUCCGCAGCUGGAGACGUAUAUAUUUUACCCACUGACAGGCAGAUUUUAAGUACGGUUACAUAAUUUUAGUUACAUAACCAGAACCCCCGUUGUCGUCAGAUUUGUUCCUGAUCAUAGAAGAGACCACUUAGUCUGAGGUGGCAAGACGUAAACAGGGGACCAUAACAGGAAGUUAACCCUUAGCUCCCAGGUGUGUGUGACUGUGCUGGACCUUUGCUAUGAGAAGGCAUGAUGCUAGCUGGGCAUGAACCUUUUAAAACACUUGUCCCUAAAGUUCCAGCUUCACAGAAACCUUUCACGCAUGCCAUGGCGAUUGAGGCAGGUUGGAAAAGUAAUUUUCCUCUCUGCUGGAAUUCUUUCCAAGGCAGGAGUUGACAGGAUUGGGAUGGGCCUACCAGUACAGUGCUGUACAAUUCCACUCAGCCUCAAUCUCAGAGAGCACACAACAUGGCGGAAUGUUUGAUGUUUGAUUCAUCAUGAUUGAAGGGGCAACAUUGAAGACAAACUUUGCCUUUCUUCUGUGUUUGUUUUAGCCAACAUAUGUUCAAAUGGUUUGGAGUGUUAAUCCUUUCAACUGUGAGUCUGUGGGCAUGACACAGCCAGAUGCCAAGCGGGUUCGGUGGGGUCUGAAAUCACAAUGAGCUGCAAAAUCAGUUAAUUGCUUUGUAGAGAAACUAAAAGCACCUAGUGAGAACCCACACCACCAACCUCCCCACCCCACCUCCUUUAAACGGCCCACCUCCCGCUGCAGGAUGACACACGCACACACAUACACACACACAUGCACAACACACACACACACAUGCAGGCACAACACACACACACAGGCACAACACACACACGCAGGCACAACACACACACACACACACACACACACACACACAGGCGCAACACACACACACAAAACACACGCACACACGCCUUUGUUGAUUUGCAGAACAAAAAGGCUCUUUGAUUUGCUGUUGGAGAUGACCUGUCAGAGCAUCUCACCUGCCUCUCCUGCAGUAAUGACCUGUGAAUGAUUGAUUAGCCUCUCGGUGUUAAACAGGGGAAAAGCUCUUCAGCCACAGCACUGCCACUGUGAGGAAGGACACGAGUGCCCGGAAUAGUGAUAGACUGGGUGGCGGGAGGUGGGAGGUGGCGCGACAUGCAUGUCUGUCUUCACCUCUGCUUGGUCUGAACUAAUACCUCCCGCAAUGCAAAACUCUGCUGUGUUGUAAAUCACUGGCCUAGAAAAAUGUGGGGGAAAGGCGCUUUGUAUGUGUGUAUGUGCGUGUGUGAGUGUGUGAGCGUGUGUGUGUAUAGGUGGGGGAAAAUUGAUUGACCUUUUUGUUCUCAUUAGUAGUUUUGCCAUUUUCAUCGUGUUGAGCUUGUUUCAGAGAAGAAUUGUGUGUGUGUGUGUGUGUAAGAGAGAGAGAGAGAGAGAGAGAUAGAGUGACAGAGAGAGAGAGAGAGAGAGAGAGAGAGAGACGUAGUCAGUGUGAGAGAAAGAGAGAGACUACAAGAAAUAAAUCUGAUCUCAGCCUGAAGUGUGGCAGAGCAAAUAUUCUUUGGAACUUACUCCCUGCAUAUAAACCCUGCUUUUCAAUGGAACACUAAACAUCACAUACUGCUUGGAAUUUCACCUCCUACUGAAAGAUACUUACUUUAAGAUGCGGUGUAGCUUCCAUUAUGAAUAAUGGACAAAACUCUUUUAUCAGAGCUGCAAUAUUUCUCAUGAAUCAUAAAGCUGGAUACACAUUUCCGCAGGUCUUGAUGGUAAGAAUGUAGGAUAGGAACAUUCACUGCUUCCCUGUGCAUGGACUCUACAUUAUCUCUUUAGGACUGAAAAUGUGCUAAGGAUGAGCUGGAGAGAACUGAUCUGAGAUCAUGCCUCAGUCUUAAUGCUAGCUGCUAGUUCAUGAUUAAAGGGACUACAGCAUGCAUAUUGUGUAUACCAUUAUCAAACACACUUACCCAAUUAUUUACAUUUAGUAAUUUAGAAGAAGCUUCAUCCAAGCUAAAUGACAGUGUUGUGGAGGUGAUAUUUACAUAAGUAUGUGCUCCCAGCCUAUCAAACCCCUGACCUUGGUGUUGUUAGUGCUUUAGUCUGCCAAUUAAGCUUCUGCAACACUACAAACACAUGCAACUCAAAAACAAUGAAAAUUCAGAGAGGUCGUUUCCCUAGGUCUCGGCAUCUCCCACUCAGCUCCACUGAGUAAGCUGUGGCUUGGAAUAUCACUGUCCACACAUUUAGCAAUCAGUGGCU